GCCAGAAGGGGUGCGAGGCGGCGGAGGAGGGGACCAGCGGGUUGCCGCCUUGGCUCGCCAGCUUGGCAACGGGAAGGCGGGAGAGGAGCGGCGAGAGAGACCGAGCCGUCCUCCUUCGCAGCCGGCACUGGCUCUACUCGGCCGCCCUCUGCAUUGGCUUCUCCUCCCUUCGCUCCCUCCUCCCCUUCCUCUCUCUCUCUCUCUGCGCUCUGAGGAGAAAGAGAGAGAGAAACCGACACCGCUUUCUUCUUUCCCGCCUCAACUUCUUCAGCAAUCAGCGCCACUCAGUUCCCUUCAGCUCUUUCUUGUCGCCUCCUCAUGGCUAUUUCAGAAAUGGGAAUAAUAAUAAUAAUAAUCCCUCCUCAGAUGACUGUUGGGACUCCCCUGAUACUGCCACCAGGACAACUUUGUCAGUGGUCCUAAUACGGGACGCUUUGUCUGUCUCUGUCUCUGUUUUGUUGUUGUUCCCCAGCCCUCGUCCGGGAGGAGAGUAGGUGCCAAGCCCUGGCGGAGUUUUAUAGCCUUGGCCUGACGUCGGUCCGAGGAAGAGCCCUGGGCGCGAGCGGCCAGGCCAAUGGGAAGCCGAGGAGACAACCCCCUCAUUUGCAUCUCGAGAGGGGCGCGCGAGGAGGAAACUUUCGGCGGAGCUGUCAAUCAAAAAAGGGAAAAAAAAGGGGGGGGAGAGGCCCAAUCAGCUGACUGUCAGCUGGGACCCCGGAGGCGGGUUAACCCUUUCCUGGCUAUUGAGCAAGAGAAAGGAAGGGAAAGGAAGCAGCAUCCACUGGACGUGGCAGCAGGGAUCCCAGGCGCGUGGCUCCAUUGCACUGGAGAGAAACAUCCAAAUCUAGAACGUCAGAAUGUGACGGAGUCAACGGUCAGGAAGUCAAUGAUUUCCACGAGUGAUACGGAUAACCUCUAAUAGGAAAGGUAAAGGAUGACCCAUUGAGAUUUCUAGAUAACCUGUUUUGACUGUUUUCAAUAAUAUGUAACAGGCCAUUCUUAGGACAAGAGAAACUAACUAAAUAUUACAUUCCCUAAUUGUUCUAAUGAUUGGAAGGAAAGGUUGUUUCAGGAUACGUGAAGAACCAUUUAUCUAUUUAAGUUAUAUCCCACAUUUUUCCUAGUGUGAAUCCAAAGAGGCGAGUUGCUAUUGUUUUUGUGAGCCUUCAAGCCAUCCUUAUGGAGGCUUUGGGGCAAACCUCCAUGGGCUUGGGCUGUGGCGCAGGCUGGAGAGCAGCUGCAAUGAAUCACUGCAAUGAAUCACUCUGACCAGGAGGUCAUGAGUUCGAGGCCCGCUCGGAGCCUAUGCUUGUCUUGUCUUUGUUCUAUGUUAAAAGACAUUGAAUGUUUGCCUAUAUGUGUAAUGUGAUCCGCCCUGAGUCCCCUUCGGGGUGAGAAGGGCAGAAUAUAAAUGCUGUAAAUAAAUAAUAAUAAAUAAACCUAUUAGAGGAGUUUCUUGGCAAUAUUUAUUCAGAUGGGGUUUGCCAUUGCCUUUGUCUUAAGAUGAGAGAAUGUGACUUGUCUAAGAUUGCCCAUGGGGAUGCAUUUACACUGUAGAAUGGUACAUUUUGACACCACUUUAACUGUCAUGGCUCAAUGCUAUGGAAUCAUAGGUAAAGUUAAAGGUUUUCCCCUGACGUUAAGUCCAGUCGUGACUGACUCUGGGGUUGGUGCUCAUCUCCAUUUCUAAGCCGAAGAGCCGACGUUGUCCAUAGACACCUCCAAGGUCAUGUGGCCGGCAUGACUGCAUGGAGUGCCGUUACCUUCCCGCCAGAGCGGUACCUAUUGAUCUACUCACAUUUUGCAUGUUUUCGAACUGCUAGGUUGGCAGGAGCUGGGGCUAACAGCGGUCACUCAUAUGGAAUCAUAGGAGUUGUAAUUUGUAGAGUUGUGCACGGAAUUUGUUUCUCUCAUUUCAUCUGUUCUUUCGCUCCUUUUCUUAUCUUCAGGAGCAUGAAACAGGACACCUCCCCACCCAGUAUAGAAAUCAAAUUGACAUGAAAGCAGGUGGGAGUGAGUCCCUGCUCCUGGCCUGUUUUUCAGCAUAACAGUUUAAUCUUUUUUAUUUAUUUCCCAGUCAACAAAAAAGUACACCCUC
ensembl:lncRNA